rnacentral:piRNA from 1 species
UAUUUAAUCAGAAAAGACUGA